GGGGUCGUAGCUCAGUGGGAGAGCAGUGGUCUCCAAACCAUCAGCGCAGGUUCGAUUCCUGCCGACCUUG
rnacentral:tRNA from 1 species